UGACAUGGUUAUGCAAUAAUAUUUCAGC
rnacentral:piRNA from 1 species